rnacentral:rRNA from 1 species
UCAAGCUCUGCUUGGUGCUGGGUGACUGUGGCCCCUCGGGUCCACUCGCCUCAAAGUCAU